ACCUGACUGUAGAGUAACAGGUGUUUGACCUGACUGUAGAUUAACAGGUGUUUGACCUGACUGUAGAGUAACAGGUGUUUGACCUGACUGUAGAUUAACAGGUGUUUGACCUGACUGUAGAUUAACAGGUGUUUGACCUGACUGUAGAGUAACAGGUGUUUGACCUGACUGUAGAGUAACAGGUGUUUGACCUGACUGUAGAGUAACAGGUGUUUGACCUGACUGUAGAGUAACAGGUGUUUGACCUGACUGUAGAUUAACAGGUGUUUGACCUGACUGUAGAGUAACAGGUGUUUGACCUGACUGUAGAGUAACAGGUGUUUGACCUGACUGUAGAGUAACAGGUGUUUGACCUGACUGUAGAGUAACAGGUGUUUGACCUGACUGUAGAUUAACAGGUGUUUGACCUGACUGUAGAUUAACAGGUGUUUGACCUGACUGUAGAGUAACAGGUGUUUGACCUGACUGUAGAGUAACAGGUGUUUGACCUGACUGUAGAGUAACAGGUGUUUGACCUGACUGUAGAGUAACAGGUGUUUGACCUGACUGUAGAGUAACAGGUGUUUGACCUGACUGUAGAUUAACAGGUGUUUGACCUGACUGUAGAUUAACAGGUGUUUGACCUGACUGUAGAGUAACAGGUGUUUGACCUGACUGUAGAGUAACAGGUGUUUGACCUGACUGUAGAGUAACAGGUGUUUGACCUGACUGUAGAGUAACAGGUGUUUGACCUGACUGUAGAUUAACAGGUGUUUGACCUGACUGUAGAGUAACAGGUGUUUGACCUGACUGUAGAUUAACAGGUGUUUGACCUGACUGUAGAGUAACAGGUGUUUGACCUGACUGUAGAGUAACAGGUGUUUGACCUGACUGUAGAGUAACAGGUGUUUGACCUGACUGUAGAUUAACAGGUGUUUGACCUGACUGUAGAGUAACAGGUGUUUGACCUGACUGUAGAGUAACAGGUGUUUGACCUGACUGUAGAGUAACAGGUGUUUGACCUGACUGUAGAUCGACAGGUGUUUGACCUGACUGUAGAGUAACAGGUGUUUGACCUGACUGUAGAGUAACAGGUGUUUGACCUGACUGUAGAGUAACAGGUGUUUGACCUGACUGUAGAGUAACAGGUGUUUGACCUGACUGUAGAGUAACAGGUGUUUGACCUGACUGUAGAUUAACAGGUGUUUGACCUGACUGUAGAUUAACAGGUGUUUGACCUGACUGUAGAGUAACAGGUGUUUGACCUGACUGUAGAGUAACAGGUGUUUGACCUGACUGUAGAGUAACAGGUGUUUGACCUGACUGUAGAGUAACAGGUGUUUGACCUGACUGUAGAGUAACAGGUGUUUGACCUGACUGUAGAGUAACAGGUGUUUGACCUGACUGUAGAGUAACAGGUGUUUGACCUGACUGUAGAUUGACAGGUAGGUUUUUGACCUGACUGUAGAGUAACAGGUAGAUUUUUGACCUGACUGUAGAGUAACAGGUAGAUUUUUGACCUGACUGUAGAGUAACAGGUAGAUUUUUGACCUGACUGUAGAGUAACAUGUGUCUGACCUGACUGUAGAUUAACAGGUGUUUAACCUGAUUGUAGGUAGGUUUUUGACCUGACUGUAGAGUAACAGGUAGAUUUUUGACCUGACUGUAGAGUAACAUGUGUCUGACCUGACUGUAGAUUAACAGGUGUUUAACC